rnacentral:rRNA from 1 species
UGGGGAAUUUUGCACAAUGGGGGAAACCCUGAUGCAGCGACGCCGCGUGAUUUGGAAGGCCUUCGGGUUGUAAAAAUCUUUUUUACGGGAUGAAAAUGACAGUACCGUAAGAAUAAGGUCCGGCUAAAUACGUGCCAGCAGCCGCGGUAAUACGUAUGGACCGAGCGUUGUCCGGAAUCAUUGGGCGUAAAGGGUACGUAGGCGGCCUAGUAAGUUAGAAGUGAAAUAAUAUAGCUCAACUAUAUAAAGCUUUUAAAACUGCUAGGCUUGAGAGAUGGAAGGGAAAGUGGAAUUCCUAGUGUAGCGGUGAAAUGCGCAGAUAUUAGGAAGAAUACCGGUGGCGAAGGCGACUUUCUGGUCAUCAUCUGACGCUGAGGUACGAAAGCGUGGGUAGCAAACAGG